CCUACGGGUGGCAGCAGUGAGGAAUAUUGGUCAAUGGGCGCGAGCCUGAACCAGCCAAGUCGCGUGAGGGAAGACGGUCCUAUGGAUUGUAAACCUCUUUUGUCGGGGAGCAAAAGACGCCACGUGUGGCGUUCCGAGAGUACCCGACGAACAAGCAUCGGCUAACUCCGUGCCAGCAGCCGCGGUAAUACGGAGGAUGCGAGCGUUAUCCGGAUUUAUUGGGUUUAAAGGGUGCGCAGGCGGAAGAUCAAGUCAGCGGUAAAAUUGAGAGGCUCAACCUCUUCGAGCCGUUGAAACUGGUGUUCUUGAGUGAGUGAGAAGUAUGCGGAAUGCGUGGUGUAGCGGUGAAAUGCAUAGAUAUCACGCAGAACUCCGAUUGCGAAGGCAGCAUACCGGCGCGCAACUGACGCUCAUGCACGAAAGUGUGGGUAUCGAACAGGAUUAGAUACCCGUGUAGUC
rnacentral:rRNA from 1 species